AACAGUUUUUCAACUGUGAGUCUGAAGCUGGAGGUCAAGACUGAAGGUGUGACUCUGGGACUCUCCCUGGACAAACCCAUCUUUCAAGCUGCCUGCCUUAGAAUAACAUCAAGACAAGGUUGGGAAGAAAUUCUCCAUUCAUUCUGGUGGACAGAGUGAUUUUGGAAAAGAAUUUCUCAUUCCAAGAGUUUCUACGGACUCUUCAACUGGAUUUCUGCUGCUUGACCCACCAAGGACUCUGUGAAUAUUGUUCAGGAGUGUUGGACUUCCCUUCCCUACCUGAAAAGCUAUCAGAAGCAGCUUCAGAUAAUUUGACUAAUAUCCAUUCACUUGUGCUCAAAGGAAUUUGGAAGAGUUCAAAUGAGAGCAGAUUAUUUAGGAAGAAUGAUCUGUACAGUUUAACAAAUCCAGAUCCUGUUAACACUCCAUACAGGAUUUAAGAAUUCACCGGCUUGUGAUGAAUACCAAGAAACAUUGAAAAAGUCAUAUGAACUGAUUUAGAAUUAAGUAAGCAGAGUCAAGAAAACAAUAUAAUCAGAGACUACAAUGUAAACAGAAGGAAUUAUUACAAGCCAAAAAAGCAAAAAUAAAUGUAGCAAAAUUAUAGAGCUCCA
rnacentral:lncRNA from 1 species